rnacentral:rRNA from 1 species
GGAGCUAAUACCGGAUAAUAUAUUGAACUGCAUGGUUCAAUAGUGAAAGACGGUUUUGCUGUCACUUAUAGAUGGAUCCGCGCCGCAUUAGCUAGUUGGUAAGGUAACGGCUUACCAAGGCAACGAUGCGUAGCCGACCUGAGAGGGUGAUCGGCCACACUGGAACUGAGACACGGUCCAG